ACAGCUUACUGGCUAUUGGGGGUCUAAAAUAUAAUUUGUUUGAAUAUUUGACACUCUGCUCUGCCCAGGAUACUACGUAUAGCCAAUGUCAGAAGAAUAAAUAUCAACAGUGUUAUUUUGUCACCGUAUAUACACCCCCUCUCCCAUAUAC